rnacentral:rRNA from 1 species
AGUCGAGCGGAGAAAGUUCUUCGGAACUUUCUCAGCGGCGGACGGGUGAGUAACACGUGGGUAACCUGCCUUAUAGAGGGGGAUAGCCUUCCGAAAGGAAGAUUAAUACCGCAUAAUAUUUUCGUUUCGCAUGAAAUGAAAAUCAAAGGAGCAAUCCGCUAUAAGAUGGACCCGCGGCGCAUUAGCUAGUUGGUGAGGUAAUGGCUCACCAAGGCGACGAUGCGUAGCCGACCUGAGAGGGUGAUCGGCCACAUUGGAACUGAGAUACGGUCCAGACUCCUACGGGAGGCAGCAGUGGGGAAUAUUGCACAAUGGGGGAAACCCUGAUGCAGCAACGCCGCGUGAGUGAAGAAGGCCUUCGGGUUGUAAAGCUCUGUCUUUGGGGACGA